AGUUCAUGAUAUCUUGACAUUACAACUAGAAUGAUUUUUCUUCUAAUCACUUAUAUACAUUGAUGCAAUAUUGAAACUGUUUCUACACUCUAUGCAAUAUCAUAUGGAUUCAGUGCUGCAGUUAGCACUAGUGUCAAAUGAAUUAGGAGCAGGAAACCCGCAAGCUGCUCGGAUUGCUGUUUAUGUUGUCAUGUUUCUUGUCGUAGUGGAGACAACUAUAGUAAGUAGUGACUCUUUGCUAGCCGUCGUGUAUUCGCUUACAUUUUCAGCAACGAAAAGCAAGUUGUGGAUUACGUUCAUGUCUCUUCUGGUUUGUCAUUUGCAAUGAGCAGCUUGGGAGUAGUGCUUUCAGGAGUUGCAAGGGGGUGUGGAUGGCAGUAUAUCGGAGCCUAUGUCAAUCUCGGCGCCUUCUAUCUUUGUGGGAUUCCGAUUGCUGCUCUUUUGGGUUUCCACUUAAAGUUAGGAAUGCUCUUUUGGGUUUCCACUUAAAGUUAGGAGGUCUAGGCCUUUGGAUUGGUGUACAAGUUGGAGCCUUUGCAAGUAGUUCUAAUUUCUAUUGUUACAGGUUGUGUUAAUUGGGAAAAACAGGUAUGUUUUUUGUUCAA